rnacentral:lncRNA from 1 species
CCGCCGCCGCCAUGGUUUGUGGAAGUUCUCCAGGAAGGAGAAAGAGGUGCAACCUUAUAAGAGAAGAUGGCUGCACACACAGUGGAUGGUGGGUGAAUGAGCUCUCUCAAAUAGUAUGCGGAACUCACAGGGAUUGGUAACCGGACCGGCCAACUGCUUUCACAGGAUGGAACUUUGCGGGCAGCUAAAGACAAUGAUUAGCCGCUGCGGCUCAUUUAUCUCAAAAUGGCCAGACAUCCUCGCUCCAAACAGGAGCAAAAGGUGGGACGAAGCGCCAUUUAUACAUGCGCAGCUGAGUGGAAGCUAGAGGCGAUAUCGGAAUGUCAAUGCAGAGCAGGAAACAGAACGGGCAAAGUUAGAAGAAAAAAAAGGAUGGGCAGCAGAAGCAAGAAACAAAAAUCAUCAACCGGGAAGCGGAAGUAGAAGUGGGGCUACAGUAAAUGACAACAGAACAUCGCUGUGAUGCAACUAAAGACAGGCACAGGGGAAGGCAGGCUUUACGCUCAGUCUGGGAUUUAUAUACAUAUGUGGAUCAUGGAGGCGGCAGGCACAGUGAGGAUCAGAAUGGAGGCGGUCCUUUGUGCUGAUAAAAGUCCAAACCACUCGAGAGGGAGCAUCUACAGAUUUGCGACAAACACUUCACAAAGAGGAGCGGGAACAGGAACAAGCUUCAUAUGGGACCUGUUCAUCGGCCAGUGGCGAGAGCAUUAUUUGCGGUGGAUGAAGGUAACAAAGCGCCUGACUCUC